GUCCACACCGUAAACGUUGGGCGCUAGGUGUGGGAUCCAUUCCACGGGUUCCGUGCCGCAGCUAACGCAUUAAGCGCCCCGCCUGGGGGAGUACGGCCGCAAGGCUAAAACUCAAAGGAAUUGACGGGGGCCCGCACAAGCGGCGGAGCAUGCGGAUUAAUUCGAUGCAACGCGAAGAACCUUACCUGGGUUUGACAUACACCGGAAAGCUGCAGAGAUGUGGCCCCUUUUUGCGGUGUACAGGUGGUGCAUGGCUGUCGU
rnacentral:rRNA from 1 species